GAUGCUGUAGCCGCUGGAAUGGCAUAGGUUUCAUAGACCGAAGUUGUCGGUUCGAGUCCGAUCAGCAUCU
rnacentral:tRNA from 1 species